rnacentral:rRNA from 1 species
CCUACGGUCGGCAGCAGUCGAGAAUCAUUCACAAUGGGGGAAACCCUGAUGGUGCGACGCCGCGUGGGGGAAUGAAGGUCUUCGGAUUGUAAACCCCUGUCAUGUGGGAGCAAAUUAAAAAGAUCGUACCACAAGAGGAAGAGACGGCUAACUCUGUGCCAGCAGCCGCGGUAAUACAGAGGUCUCAAGCGUUGUUCGGAAUCACUGGGCGUAAAGCGUGCGUAGGCUGUUUCGUAAGUCGUGUGUGAAAGGCGCGGGCUCAACCCGCGGACGGCACAUGAUACUGCGAGACUAGAGUAAUGGAGGGGGAACCGGAAUUCUCGGUGUGGCAGUGAAAUGCGUAGAUAUCGAGAGGAACACUCGUGGCGAAGGCGGGUUCCUGGACAUUAACUGACGCUGAGGCACGAAGGCCAGGGGAGCGAAAGGGAUUAGAUACCCCUGUAGUC